ACGCUCGACACCUACGGGAGGAGCAGUAGGGAAUCUUCCACAAUGGACGCAAGUCUGAUGGAGCAACGCCGCGUGAGUGAAGAAGGUUUUCGGAUCGUAAAGCUCUGUUGUUGGUGAAGAAGGAUAGAGGUAGUAACUGGCCUUUAUUUGACGGUAAUCAACCAGAAAGUCACGGCUAACUACGUGCCAGCACGCCGGACGGUAAUCUGAGGCGGGCUGGACGAAGGC
rnacentral:rRNA from 1 species